CCGAGCAGAACGACCCGUGAACGCGUGCUUUUUAUCGAACUCUCGGCGGGUUUGGGGUCCCCCUCCGGGGCCUUGAGCUCGCCUUGCGUCGGGGGUCCCCGACUUUAAAACAAACUCGGGCGCGGUAUGCGCCAAGGAAAACGUACGAAUGUCGCAAUCUCUAUAGAGCGUCGCAAUGACUCUCGGCAACGGAUAUCUCGGCUCUCGCAUCGAUGAAGAACGUAGCGAAAUGCGAUACUUGGUGUGAAUUGCAGAAUCCCGUGAACCAUCGAGUCUUUGAACGCAAGUUGCGCCCGAAGCCGUUUGGCCGAGGGCACGUCUGCCUGGGCGUCACGCACAGUCGCCCCUCCCCCGUCCGGCAUGUCCGGCUGGCGGUGUGGGGCGGAUAAUGGCUUCCCGUUCGCUCGGCCGUGCGGUUUGCCCAAAAAUCGAGUCCCCGGCUCCGUUCGCCGCGGCAUUCGGUGGUCGUCGAAAGCUCGGUGCCCCGUCGCGCGCGUAAGCACCGCAGCCGAAGGAUUCGGACCAAAGACCCUAGUGGCGCAUCUGUGGACACCCCAUCGAGUCGCCUUCGAAGCGACCCCAGGUCAGGCGGGGACACCCGCUGAGUUUAAGCAUAUCAAUAAGCGGAGGA
rnacentral:rRNA from 1 species